UGACUAACGAACUAUUCUUUAUGAAAAUACCAUGAUCUAUAUUGUAAAUUGAUCAGACCCAAUACCAUGAUUUUAUUACUUGCUUUAUUUCUCCUUACGCGGAGUUUUAGGAGGAAUAAUUGAAAGUAAUAUAAUAUGAUGGAAGUGGGGUAAGUUGAAGAAUAAAAUAAAAAUCUAAAAAAGCAAAAUUGAGUGUAAGUGGGGAGGAGAGAAAAUAUGAAAAAUAUUAAUAUAGUAAAAUAUUACUUUGUAUUAAAAGUUUCCAAAAAAAAAGGGAAAUGGAGCAAGUAAUAAAAUGUGGCUGCUAAAAGAAAGUGUAGCAAGUAAUAAAAUACAGAGGAGUAGUAAACAUUACUUUCCAUGAAUGUAUUGAAUUGAUUGAUUGGAAUUUUAGGAUAAGUUUUUUUUUUUUUUUUAGUGUAUGACCCAGCCGUUGCACGGGUUGCUACUUUAACACAUAAUGUUAGUACAAAAAAACGGAUUUAGAUAGAAUAAUUUUCCCUUGUCUUGGAAUUGUUAAAGCUAUUCUCUUUAUUCAUUUUUUAUAAGCUACAUAAUUUUUUUUUCUUAUCCAUUAUUGUGCUUAGUUAAAGAUAUAUGUAUUUUUUAUAUGGAUGACAUAAAUUAUUAUUGGGUAAGACGUGGCGCAAUGCUUGUUAAUGAUGACGUGGACAUGUGGUGCAAUGUUAGUGCAGAUCUACUUGUUACAUUAACAAUUUUAGGCACGCUUUUAAACAUAGAAUAGAUUAGAAUAAGUUCAAAACUAAUAAAAUAAAAUUAGUAAAACAUAUCCUUAAUUAACCGAAUUCCAACACAAAAAGGAAUUUAUUGAACUAGUUUGAUUCGGUAUCGGAAAGCAACUUUAACUCUACGCUAUAUAUAAAUAAAAGUAGAACUAGCCUUGGUUAAAAAUUUAGAGAGAUAAGAGAAUCAGAGAUCGUCGCAGCACUACAAGUUUCGUGAAAUCUUUCUCCGUUGUAAGUUUAUUCUAUUUUAUUUAAUUUAUUUUGAAGUAUUCAUAGUGAUUUUAUUUUUUUUUUAAUUUUUUUUUAUUAUUUUUUUUUUAUAUAUGCAUUCAUGUUUUUUACCCAUGUUUCUUAGAUUGCCUUAGGUUUUCAUCGUUAUACAAGUAUAAUUUUUUUUUACAUGCUACGUUUCUUCUAGUCAUGCUUUUUAUUACGGAGUAAUGUGAUUCUAUGUAAUUAAUUUGGCUAUUUCUGGACGGUGGCUAGGGUUUUUUUUUUAAGUGAUUUGAUUUUGGCUAUUGCUAGAGGGUGACUAUAGUUUUAAGUGAUACUAUGAACUUAUAGUAUAGAUGAUUCUAAUAAGAUUCCAUUAUAUAUAUAUAUACUUAUUAACUUAUAUAUUAAUCACAAAAGAUAAUAUAGUAAUGAUCCUAGACUUAAUACAUUGUAACUAAGAAAGUAUAGUAGGGCGAGGCCGCUUAAGUGAAUGAAAUAUAUUGUCUAUUGUUGAAGAAUGAUGAUUUAUGUAACACUUUGCAUUUUAUGAAUUUGAUAAAGGAAUAUGUGGACUUUGGAAGGGCAAAAAAGGUAUAAAAUUAUUGUUUAAGUGGUACAUUCUGCUUGUAAUAUGGUAUUUAAUUGAAGUUUAAAUUUGAAUUCAUAACCAUUCAAAAACAGGUUGAUGGUAGUUUGAAAGAUUUGGCUUCCUCUGACACUGAGUGAUGGGGAAGAAGAUCGUAUCAGUGAGCUUCCACAUAAGGUUACGUCUCAUAUGCUGUCAUUGCGUGAUGUAGCAAGAAUGGCUACAUUAUCAACAAAGUGGAGAAAGUUGUCCUCCCUUGACUUGGAUUGGCGGGUAAUGUCUGGUAUGCCUAUAAUAGAGUGUCAUAGCAAAUAUGCGUGGAUGCUUGGAGAUGUUGUGUGUUUCCUGAGUUUCAUCCUAUCACUAGUUCCUUUCUUUCGCGAUUCUGUUAUCUCAAGGAGUUGUGUCUGGACUCUUGCAUUUUGAGGCUUGAUAAUAAUGAACUUGGAUUUCAUAACUUAACAACCCUUGAUCUUUGUAAUGUUAUUCUAGAGGGGAUUGAAUGGCAGGACAUUCUUUCUACUUUGUUGGAGACAAUAACAACUUCCGGUGUCUGAGUUUCCUCAGGAUUGAAGAAUGUCCAAAUUUGCAACAACUUCAACUUCAAGACCUUUGAGUUUUCAAUUCUGGUGAAGAAGCUCUCGAGUGCUCUUUCUUAAAUGUUCCCAAUCUUGAAACUGUCAAUUUCAACUUGCUCGGAAAAAAUAAUAAAGCACACGGUCUUCUCAAAAGUCUUGCAGUUAAUGUCUCUGGCCUAAAAAAUCUGGUCCUUGGAGAGUAUUCUCUGAUGCUGGAUUAUUAUUUCAGUCAGUUUUGAGUUUACAUGUCAACAUGAAAUGUGAUAGUGGCAAGUAUGUAGCGAAAGCUCUUCCUCGUCUUCUUGAAAAAGCUUGAGAUAGAGUUACCUCUUCAUCGAUGUUGCAAGAACUAUCAACUUCCGGCAGCUACGUGUGUCCAUUCCAAUCUGAAUGAGUUCGAAUUGAUUUCUUUCCGUGUAGCAUUGAUACCGAUUGCUACGUAUUUAUUGAAGAGUGGUGUAAUGUUAGAUCGUAUGGUACCUAACUAAAUCUGCCAAGGAUCUUAACAAUGGCCAAGAAUUUAACUAAUGUUGAAGUCUUCAUUAAUUAACUUUGUUGAUAUUAUACAGUAUUGAUUAGGCAACGGUUAAUAA